GAAGUAAAAUAAAUUUGAAAAUGUCAUAUUGAUGACUGAUAAUGGUUUAAUUUAAUUAUAAACCUUUUUAUGAAACUUAAUUUUUGAUUCCUAUUUUUGAAUGAAGUAUUGAUGCAGCGCAAGAAGAUGACAGUCUUGGAAGACUAGUCAAUGAUGACCACAUCUAUCCAAACUGCAAAAUGAAGAGGGUCAUAGCAGAGGGCAAGCCACAUCUUUGUCUUUUUGCUCUGAGAGACAUUAAGGCUGGAGAAGAAAUAACGUAUGACUAUGGAGGAUCUGAUUGGCCUUGGAGAAAACAGGUUUGUAACUCUUGAAUUGUGUGAUGUAGAUUAGUGAAUGUGCAUAUUUGCUUUCAUGAGGAGAUCGGUGAAGGAUUUGUGUUUCUUUUGUGAGAUUUAUUCUGCUACUGGUUUUUUAAUCUGAGUUUUUUUAAAUCAAAUGACAGUGAUUGCUAAUGCUAAUAAGUUUGAAGGGACAAAUACAGGAAAAAAGCCUUUUCUUCAGUACAGGGACAAUAUACUUAAGCUAAAUAACCAGAAGUGUGUUCUGCCACUCUUCAGCUUUCCUUAUUCUUAAUUACAGUAGUAUAUUAGCAGACAUCUGUGCUAAAUUGAAAAUUUAAUAAUCAAAUAUAACUGACUUUUAGUUGUAUACAGAGACUAUUUAAGUUGCAUCAUCAAUUGCAUGUUUCCUGUAUACAUGUACUUCAUAUUGUGACUGAUUCAUACAAGUGUUAAUGCUGAUAUGCUAAAUACAGAUAUUGAAUUCAUUUGUCAGGCUAAAGUGCAAGAAACUGCAUCUGAUACACUGUCAUCAGAGGAGGUUCCCCAGAGUCCUUCCCCCUCCAAGAUGCAGGCUAAAGUGCAAAAUACUGCAGCUGAUACACUGUCAUCAGAGGAGGUUCCUCAGAGCCCUUCGUUCUCCGAGAUGCAGGCUAAAACACAAGAAACUAGCGCUGAUACACUGUCAUCAGAAGAGGUUCCUCAGAGCCCUUCCCUCUCCGAGAUGCAGGCUAAAACACAAGAAACUAGCGCUGAUACACUGUCAUCAGAAGAGGUUCCUCAGAGCCCUUCCCUCUCCGAGAUGCAGGCUAAAACACAAGAAACUAGCGCUGAUACACUGUCAUCAGAGGAGGUUCCUCAGAGCCCUUUGUUCUCCGAGAUGCAGGCUAAAACACAAGAAACGGGCGCUGAUACACUGUCAUCAGAGGAGGUACCUCAGAGCCCUUCCCUCUCCCAUAUGCAGAGUUUACAAGAAGCAGGAGUCUUUCAUUCAAUGAAAACUAUAAAAUCAGAACCGCUUGUGAACUACACUGAUUCUGAUGAUGAGAGUCCAUCCAUAAGUCCUGACCAAUUGAAGUCAACAUGCCAGAUGACAAGACAACUAGAUUUGGAUGAGCACUUUGACUUUACAUCCGAUCCUAGUGGUGAGGAAUAUAUUCCUGGGACAAGUGAAGAGUCUUCUGAUAGUACAGACACAAGCAUAGCUCUCACGCCAGUUAAACAGGCAAAGAUAUUAAAACUUUGCAACCUAAAAAUGGAUGGUAACAAAGGUGAUUCACCAAAAAAUCUAAAUAAGUCCAUGAAGCAAAAGCACAACAGAGGGCGCCCACAAAAAAAAGGAAGCAACUUGGGUAGGAAACGUAAACUUCAUUCUUCAGACAGUCCUUCAACCAGUUGCUCAUCGAAAAGUAGAGGGGCAGACAAUCUAAACUCACUAAGUGAACUCAAGGACAGCCUACCUGUUUGUACCUCUUCCCCCUCUAAACAUGAAGUGAUUGAUGAUUCUGUCUUCAUACCUGGUGUAUGCAAGAAGGAAGAUGGGUCAAGAUUGUACAACAAAAAACAAUACUGUUUGUAUUGCAAGUCUGGAUAUAUAAAAAUGGCAAGGCAUUGGGAACGUGCUCAUCACAAUAAACCAGAUGUUGCACUGGCUUUGUCCUUCCCUAAAGGCUCCAAAGAAAGACGGCUACAUCUAGAGCAUGUAAGAAACAGAGGAAACUUUGCACACAAUGUUGAAGUAUUGAAUACUGGGACUGGAAAGCUUGUUUCUCGAAAACAACCAAAAAAGGACUGUUCAGGAAAAGAUUUCUUGCAUUGUGUAUAUUGUCAUGGCCUUUUCACCAAGAAAGUCCUGUGGCGACACAGGAAGAUCUGCAAGUUCAACACUGGUGUUGAACAAAAACUUGGUAAAACCCGUAUUCAGGCACUCUGUGCACUUGCUGUAAAACCGCCACCUGGUGUCAGAGAAGAGGUUUGGAAGUUGUUGAACAAGAUGGUCCAAGAUGAAGUAUAUCAUGCUGUUAAAGCUGACUCUAUGAUCAUGGAGUUUGGUGAGCAUCUUUGCAACAGAUUCGGACAUGAUGUUGCCAAACAUGAAUAUAUUCGCCAGAAAAUGAGAGAGCUCGGAAGGCUUCUAAUAUGCUCAAAGAAAAUCACUUCAUUGAAAACAAUUCAAGAACACGUCAAGCCCUCAAAUUUCAUGCAUGUCAUUAGGUCAGUAAAACAUCUAGCGGGUCAUGAUGGUGAAACCAAUACAUACAAGUGCCCAAGUCUUGCCCUCAAAAUUGGAUACACUUUAUCAAAAAUUUCAAUGCUUGUUGAAAGUCAAGCUAACGUACAGGGCAACAAGAGUGCAGCAAAAGAAGCUUGUGCUUUUCGACAAAUCUAUGAAAGCAGAUGGCAUGAAAUGAUAUCGGCUGCAUCCCUGAGAACAUUGCAGGAGUCUAAGUGGAAUUCUCCUCUUUUGCUCCCGUUUACAAAAGACGUCCAGACUCUCCAUUCUUAUUUAGAUCAGAAGCAAAAACAAUACUUGGAUGAGUUGUCCAAAGAAAGCUCCUCUCAGAUGUGGACACAGCUCACCAAGGUAACUCUGACGCAAGUCAUUCUGUUCAACCGGCGAAGAGCAGGGGAGGUGUCUCACAUGUCCUUAUCAGCAUAUUUGUGCAAAAAUCGAUCAAACCCUCAAGAAGAUAUGAAUGAGGCCCUCUCUGAUCUAGAGAAGAAGCUAUGUCAACAUUUCAGGAGAAUAGAAAUAAGAGGGAAAAGAGGAAGAAAAGUGCCUGUGCUUCUCACCCCAGCAAUGCAGACAACAAUAGAUCUGCUUGUCAGCAAGCGCAAAGAUUGUGGAGUUCUGCAGGAAAACCCUUACUUGUUUGCAAGACCAUGUGCAAUGACCUGUUACCGUGGGUCAGAUUGCCUUCGACAUUUUGCCAAGGUCUGUGGUGCAAAAACACCAGAAACUCUCACUUCUACAAAACUGCGUAAACAAACAGCAACCCUAUCUCAAGUUCUAAACCUCAGCAAUACAGAACUAGAUCAGUUAGCUGGUUUUCUUGGACAUGACAUACGAAUACACAGGCAGUUCUACAGACUUCCUGAGGGCACCCUCCAGCUUGCCAAAAUUAGCAAAGUCCUUUUGGCUCUGGAACAGGGACGCAUGACAGAAUUCAAGGGCAAAAGCCUUGAUGACAUCAUCAUUAAUCCAGAGGGUACUGUCUUUAGAUUUUUUUAA
ensembl:lncRNA